rnacentral:misc_RNA from 1 species
AAAAUAAAAAUAAAAAAACAAAAAGAAAAUACCAUUUAUUUUCCGCUCUUUAUUUUCCUUCCCCUUAAAAAAUUCCCAAACAUAGUGUAAAAAAACCCCACCAUACAAAACAAAGAUCGAUCCCUAAAAUUUAAGCAUCCCCUUGAAAUAUCCAUAGAUCUUAAAAAACUAAAGACAUAAACAGGAUCUAAAAUCAGAAAACUCCGAAUACAAAUUACACCAAAAUCAAAAUCAACGAACGACAAAAACCACUAGAGAGUAAAAAUUCUCACGUAAUCAGAUUAAUCAUCUAAGAAUCUAAACAAAAAUAAUAACUAAUAAUCAUUUCCAAUAGCCAAAUCGGGAAAAGAACAGUAGCCAACCGAGAAAGGAUUACCUUGAGAGAGAGGAGAGAAAUUUGAUUACGUUUAGAUCUGAAUUCUGAGCUUUGAAUGGUUGUGUGU